UACGGAGGGUGCAAGCGUUAUCCGGAUUCAUUGGGUUUAAAGGGUGCGUAGGCGGCUAUAUAAGUCAGUGGUGAAAAUAUCGGGCUCAACCCGAUACGUGCCAUUGAUACUGUAUAGCUUGAAUCAAAUCGACGCGGGAGGAAUGCGACAAGUAGCGGUGAAAUGCUUAGAUAUGUCGCAGAACACCGAUAGCGAAGGCAUCUCGCGAGGUUUCGAUUGACGCUGAGGCACGAAAGCGUGGGUAUCAAACAGG
rnacentral:rRNA from 1 species